GAUGAACGCUGGCGGCGUGCUUAAUACAUGCAAGUCGAGCGAACAGACGAGGAGCUUGUUCCUCUGACGUUUGCGGCGGACGGGAGAGUAACACGUGUAUAACCUACCUAUAUUACUGGGAACACUUCGGGAAUCCGGAUCUAAUCCCGGAUAAUCUCUUGAACCGCAUGGUUCAAUGGUGAAAGACGGCUUUUCUGUCACUACUAGAUGGAUCCGCGCCGCGUGAGCUAGUUGGUAAGUUAACGGCUUACCAAGGCGACGAUGCGUAGCCGACCUGAGAGGGUGAUCGGCCACACUGGAACUGAGACACGGUCCAGACUCCUACGGGAGGCAGCAGUAGGGAAUCUUCCGCAAUGGGCGAAAGCCUGACGGAGCAACGCCGCGUGAGUGAUGAAGGUCUUCGGAUCGUAAAACUCUGUUAUUAGGGAAGAACAAAUGUGUAAGUAACUAUGCACGUCUUGACGGUACCUAAUCAGAAAGCCACGGCUAACUACGUG
rnacentral:rRNA from 1 species